rnacentral:rRNA from 1 species
GAUGAACGCUAGCGGCAGGCCUAACACAUGCAAGUCGAGGGGUAGAGUUCUUCGGAACUUGAGACCGGCGCACGGGUGCGUAACGCGUAUGCAAUCUACCUUAUACAGGGGAAUAGCCCAGAGAAAUUUGGAUUAAUGCCCCAUAGUAUUAUUGAAUGGCAUCAUUUAAUAAUUAAAGUUCCAACGGUAUAAGAUGAGCAUGCGUCCCAUUAGUUAGUUGGUAAGGUAACGGCUUACCAAGACGAUGAUGGGUAGGGGUCCUGAGAGGGAGAUCCCCCACACUGGUACUGAGACACGGACCAGACUCCUACGGGAGGCAGCAGUGAGGAAUCUUGGUCAAUGGUCGAAAGACUGAACCAGCCAUGCCGCGUGCAGGAAGACGGUCCUAUGGAUUGUAAACUGCUUUUGUUAGGGAAGAAACCCUCGGUUGCGAUCGAGGCUGACGGUACCUAAAGAAUAAGGAUCGGCUAACUCCGUGCCAGCCGCCGCCGUAAAAC